UACGUAGGUUGCAAGCGUUGUCCGGAAUUAUGUGGCGUAAAGCGCGCGCAGGCGGCCUCUUAAGUCUGAUGUGAAAGCCCCCGGCUCAACCGGGGAGGGCCAUUGGAAACUGGGAGGCUUGAGUAUAGGAGAGAAGAGUGGAAUUCCACGUGUAGCGGCGAAAUACGUAGAUAUGUGGAGGAACACAAGUGGCGAAGGCGGCUCUAUGGUCUGUAACUGACGAUGAGGCGCGAAAGCGUGGGGAGCAAACAGG
rnacentral:misc_RNA from 1 species